UACGUAGGGUGCGAGCGUUGCCCGGAUUUAUUGGGCGUAAAGGGCGCGCAGGCGGCCACGCACGUCCGUUGUGAAAUCGCCCGGCUCAACUGGGCGGGGUCAGCGGAUACGGCGUGGCUGGAGCAAGCUAGGGGGCAAUGGAAUUCCCGGUGUAGUGGUGGAAUGCGUAGAUAUCGGGAGGAACACCAGUGGCGAAGGCGGUUGCCUGGAGCUUUGCUGACGCUGAGGCGCGAAAGCGUGGGGAGCGAGUCCGG
rnacentral:rRNA from 1 species